GUCCACGCCCUAAACGAUGUCUACUAGUUGUCGGGUCUUAAUUGACUUGGUAACGCAGCUAACGCGUGAAGUAGACCUCCUGGGGAGUACGGUCGCAAGAUUAAAACUCAAAGGAAUUGACGGGGAUCCGCACAAGCGGUGGAUGAUGUGGAUUAAUUCGAUGCAACGCGAAAACCUUACCUACCCUUGACAUGGAUGGAAUCCCGGAGAGAUUUGGGAGUGCUCGAAAGAGAACCAUCACACAGGUGCUGCAUGGCUGUCGU
rnacentral:rRNA from 1 species